UACGUAGGGUGCAAGCGUUAAUCGGAAUUACUGGGCGUAAAGCGUGCGCAGGCGGUUAUGUAAGACAGGUGUGAAAUCCCAGGGCUUAACCUUGGAACUGCAUUUGUGACUGCAUAGCUAGAGUACGGUAGAGGGGGAUGGAAUUCCGCGUGUAGCAGUGAAAUGCGUAGAUAUGCGGAGGAACACCGAUGGCGAAGGCAGCCCCCUGGGCCAAUACUGACGCUCAUGCACGAAAGCGUGGGGAGCAAACAGG
rnacentral:rRNA from 1 species